GCCCGGGUGGCUCAGUCGGUUGAGCGUCCGACUUCGGCUCAGGUCAUGAUCUCACGGUUCGUGGGUUCGAGCCCCACGCGGGGCU
rnacentral:tRNA from 1 species